UUGCUGGGCCUGGUCCCUCCUCAGCUGACUGCUUCCCCUCGCGGAGCCCUGCCUGUUGCUGCUCUCCCGGUCCUAGUGAGCCAGUGCUGGUCUGCAUGAGGGAAAGCUGUGGGUUUCUGUCAGCUGGCGCGCCUACCACUGCGUCCUGGAGAGCCUGGAAGCACCCGGGCCUGGAGAGCAGAGGGAAGCCCCGUGCCCGCGGCACCACCCGCCCUCUGGUCUGUAGCUACCGCCGUCGUUUCCUCGUGGCGUUUGGGCUCUUGAGACGGGGCUCCGCGCUGGCCGUGCGGAUGGAGCCGGAGGGCAGAGCUCCC
rnacentral:lncRNA from 1 species